rnacentral:rRNA from 1 species
UACGGGGGGGGCAAGCGUUGUUCGGAAUUACUGGGCGUAAAGCGUGCGCAGGCGGCUAUGCAAGACAGAUGUGAAAGCCCCGGGCUUAACCUGGGAAUGGCAUUUGGGACUGCAAGGCUUGAGUGCGGCAGGGGAGACUGGAAUUCCCGGUGUAGCAGUGAAAUGCGUAGAUAUCGGGAGGAAUACCGAUGGCGAAGGCAGGUCUCUGGGCUGACACUGACGCUCAUGCACGAAAGCGUGGGGAGCAAACAGG